CUAGACCUUGUAAUCCAUGGUGGUCAUUCCAGGCCCUCAUUAUUGAACCUAGGUAUUCCUGCUAAUACAUUUCAGUCUUUUCGAGGAGGAGCCCAGAAGGUAACUAUGGCCCUUGUGGUCUACUGGUAUGAUUUCAUUUGUUUUGGCAUUGUUGGCGCAUCCUUCUUCGGCUCGUUAUGGGUGCUAUACAGGAAGGAGCUACUUGCCUCAAAAUACGACACCAACACCAUCUAUGAGAGCCUCCUUGUGGCUCGACCAGACACUGAUGGUUUUGUAAAUGCUAUGCCAAGAAAUCAUGUUGGGUCGUCCCAACUAUGGAGCAGUUGCUGGAAAGGGUUUCAUCCAGGAUGGUUAUUAGCCACUCGUUUCGUCUCCUUUCUGGUAAUGGCUGGAUUUCUAAUGUGGGAUAUCGAGGAAUGGGAUGCCACCAUCUUCGUGUAUUACACUGAGUGGACAUUUGCAUUAGUUAUGGUAUA
rnacentral:misc_RNA from 1 species